rnacentral:rRNA from 1 species
CCUACGGGCGGCAGCAGUGAGGAAUAUUGGUCAAUGGACGAGAGUCUGAACCAGCCAAGUAGCGUGAAGGAUGACUGCCCUAUGGGUUGUAAACUUCUUUUAUAUGGGAAUAAAACGUUCCACGUGUGGGAUUUUGUAUGUACCAUAUGAAUAAGGAUCGGCUAACUCCGUGCCAGCAGCCGCGGUAAUACGGAGGAUCCGAGCGUUAUCCGGAUUUAUUGGGUUUAAAGGGAGCGUAGGUGGAUUGUUAAGUCAGUUGUGAAAGUUUGCGGCUCAACCGUAAAAUUGCAGUUGAAACUGGCAGUCUUGAGUACAGUAGAGGUGGGCGGAAUUCGUGGUGUAGCGGUGAAAUGCUUAGAUAUCACGAAGAACUCCGAUUGCGAAGGCAGUUCACUGGACUGCAACUGACACUGAGGCUCGAAAGUCUGGGUAUCAAACAGGAUUAGAUACCCCUGUAGUC